rnacentral:tRNA from 1 species
AAAAGGCAGCAAACUCAACGAACCUGAUCGAUAUUCUGCCGCUCAUAACGGUCUGGUUGCAGGUUCGAGUCCUGCCGGGCCCACCA